CGGGAAUAUUGGACAAUGGGGGAAACCCUGAUCCAGCCAUGCCGCGUGUGUGAAGAAGGCCCUAGGGUUGUAAAGCACUUUUAGUAGUGAGGAAGGCCCAGUAGUUAAUACCUACUGGGAUUGACGUUAGCUACAGAAAAAGCACCGGCUAAUUUCGUGCCAGCAGCCGCGGUAAUACGAAAGGUGCAAGCGUUAAUCGGAAUUACUGGGCGUAAAGCGCGCGUAGGCGGCUUGGUAAGUUGGAUGUGAAAGCCCCGGGCUCAACCUGGGAACUGCAUCCAAAACUGCCUGGCUAGAGUAUGGUAGAGGAUGGCGGAAUUUCCUGUGUAGCGGUGAAAUGCGUAGAUAUA
rnacentral:rRNA from 1 species